rnacentral:rRNA from 1 species
UUAAACAUAAGAGUUUGAUCCUGGCUCAGGACGAACGCUGGCGGCGUGCCUAACACAUGCAAGUCGAGCGGAGAGGCGAGGGGGUUUACUCCGAGCCUCUUAGCGGCGGACGGGUGAGUAACACGUGGGUAACCUACCCCAAGGAGGGGGAUAACAGGUCGAAAGGCCUGCUAAUACCGCA